UCCCUGGUGGCUCAGAUGGUAAAGAAGCCACCUGCAAUGUGGGAGACCUGGGUUCAAUCCCUGGUUUGGGAA
rnacentral:tRNA from 1 species